CCCAGACCGUGUUCCUCUGCUUGGUGGACGCCGAAAUGCUCAUCCACGUUCAGGGCUGCAGUGCAUUGAUCAUCAUGCUCCCAGCUCCUGUUGUGUUUAUGCAAGCAGAGAAGAUCCACCGCGCACCGUGAGGAUACAGCCUUGAUGUCAUUUCAGCCUGCCACGCUGACACUGUGGUUGAUGCCCUGCUGAGCAGGAGUCGUGCCAAGGUAGUAACCCCCAACAGAAUGCGUCAACUCCACCUCAUUUCCAACCAACUAGACGUGGAAAUAAAGAUGUUUUACUUUUGUUAACGAAGUAAAAGAAGAAUGUCGUUCCAUAAUCGUUCAGUUAGUGGUUAAAUCUGAAAAUGUCACACCUAUUGUUUGAACAGAGAACGUUUGCAUGAGGAUAAUCACAUCUGUUUCUCUGUGGUCAUUUCCAGAUGUCUCCCAAAAAUAGUAUUUGCUUUGUGUUGUUAGAUUGUCGCUUGUCUCUCUGCUGAAAGCAAACAUCCACCUUCCUGAGUCCAUCUCAGCUGUCUGCUUGUUCAUGUAUGUUUUAUUGAUAGAUAGACCCCAUGAAUGGAUCAUAUAAAACAGAUCCCAAAUAGGAUCAAACAAACACUGAAUAAAGUUCAGAAACCCUUCUU